UGAAACCUAGUGAUAUGUGACUUAGUGGCGGACGGGUGAGUAACGCGUGGGUAACCUGCCUGAUAUUGGGGGACAACAGUUAGAAAUGACUGCUAAUACCGCAUAAGUCAUUGAGGAGGCAUCUCUUUAAUGAGAAAGGAGAUAUCCGAUACCAGAUGGACCCGCGUCUGAUUAGCUAGUUGGUGAGGUAACGGCCCACCAAGGCGACGAUCAGUAGCCGAACUGAGAGGUUGACCGGCCACAUUGGGACUGAGACACGGCCCAAACUCCUACGGGAGGCAGCAGUGGGGAAUAUUGCACAAUGGGGGAAACCCUGAUGCAGCGACGCCGCGUGAGUGAUGAAGUAUUUCGGUAUGUAAAGCUCUAUCGAUGGGGAAGAAAAUGACGGUACCCAAGUAAGAAGCCCCGGCUAACUACGUGCCAGCAGCCGCGGUAAUACGUAGGGGGCAAGCGUUAUCCGGAUUUACUGGGUGUAAAGGGAGCGUAGGUGGUUAUGCAAGUCAGAAGUGAAAGCCCUCGGCUCAACUGAGGGACUGCUUUUGAAACUGUAUAACUAGAGUGCAGGAGGGGUAAGCGGAAUUCCUAGUGUAGCGGUGAAAUGCGUAGAGAUUGGGAGGAACACCAGUGGCGAAGGCGACUUACUGGGCCGUAACUGACGCUGAGGCGCGAAAGCGUGGGGAGCGAACAGGAUUAGAUACCCCGGUAGUCCACGCGGUAAAC
rnacentral:rRNA from 1 species